GAGUUUGAUCAUGGCUCAGGAUGAACGCUAGCGGCAGGCUUAACACAUGCAAGUCGAGGGGCAGCGGGGAGGAAGCUUGCUUUCUCCGCCGGCGACCGGCGCACGGGUGAGUAACACGUAUGCAACCUGCCCCUGUCAGGGGGACAACCCGCCGAAAGGCGGGCUAAACCCGCGUACAUGCCACCGGGGCAUCCCGGAGGCAGGAAAGGCUUCGGCCGGGACAGGGAUGGGCAUGCGGCGCAUUAGGCAGUAGGCGGGGUAACGGCCCACCUAACCGACGAUGCGUAGGGGUUCUGAGAGGAAGGUCCCCACACUGGUACUGAGACACGGACCAGACUCCUACGGGAGGCAGCAGUGAGGAAUAUUGGUCAAUGGUCGGGAGACUGAACCAGCCAAGCCGCGUGAGGGAGGAAGGUACAGAGUAUCGUAAACCUCUUUUGUC
rnacentral:rRNA from 1 species